rnacentral:rRNA from 1 species
AGAGUUUGAUCAUGGCUCAGGAUGAACGCUAGCGGCGUGCCUAAUGCAUGCAAGUCGAACGGGAACCUUUGGAAUUAUUCUGAAGGGGAGAGUGGCGAACGGGUGAGUAACACGUUGGUGACCUGCCCCAGAGAGGGGGAUAACCAUUGGAAACGAUGGCUAAUACCCCGGAUGUCGUUGCAGUUAGAGAGCAAUGACUAAAGCUCCGGCGCUCUGGGAGGGGCCUGCGGCCCAUCAGCUUGUUGGUAGGGUAACGGCCUACCAAGGCGAAGACGGGUAGGGGGCGUGAGAGCGUGACCCCCCACACUGGUACUGAAACACGGACCAGAUACCUACGGGUAGCAGCAGCAAGGAAUAUUGCCCAAUGGACGAAAGUCUGAGGCAGCAACGCCGCGUGGAGGAUGAAGGCCUUCGGGUUGUAACUCCUUUUCUGGGGGAAGAGAAGGACGGUACCCCAGGAAUAAGUCUCGGCUA